GACGAACGCUGGCGGCGUGCUUAACACAUGCAAGUCGAACGGAAAGGCCCUGCUUUUGUGGGGUGCUCGAGUGGCGAACGGGUGAGUAACACGUGAGUAACCUGCCCUUGACUUUGGGAUAACAUCAGGAAACUGGGGCGAUUACCGGAUAGAAGCUCCUGCUGCAUGUUGGGGGUUGGAAAGUGUCGGCGGUAGGGGAUGGACUCGCGGCUUAUCAGCUUGUUGGUGUGGUAGUGGCUUACAAAGGCUUUGACGGGUAGCCGACCUGAGAGGGUGAACGGGGACAUGGCGCCUGAGGUACGCCGCAGAAUCGUACCGGAGGCAGCAGUGGGGAAUAUUGCACAACGGGCGCACGUCUGAUGUAGCAACGUCGCGUGCGGAAUGCCCGGUUUUUGGUGGUAAACCGCUUUCGCCUGUGCUAAGGCCGUAGUGACGGUAAUGGGUCAAGAAGCACCGGCUAACUACGUG
rnacentral:rRNA from 1 species